UACGUAUGGAGCAAGCGUUAUCCGGAUUUACUGGGUGUAAAGGGAGCGUAGGCGGUAAGGCAAGUCAGAAGUGAAAACCCAGGGCUCAACCUUGGGACUGCUUUUGAAACUGAGUAGCUAGAGUGCAGGAGAGGUAAGCGGAAUUCCUAGUGUAGCGGUGAAAUGCGUAGAUAUUAGGAGGAACACCAGUGGCGAAGGCGGCUUACUGGACUGUAACUGACGUUGAGGCUCGAAAGCGUGGGUAUCGAACAGG
rnacentral:rRNA from 1 species